rnacentral:rRNA from 1 species
CAAAAGAGUGGGAAGAGCUUUGAGUAGAGGUGACAAACCUACCGAGCCCAGUUAUAGCUGGUUGCCUGUGAAAUGAAUAGGAGUUCAGCCCUUUAAGUCUUUCCCCCCUCACCCAUGCUUACGCUAAAAUUGAUUAAGGAAACUAAAGGCGUUAAUCAAAAGGGGUACAGCCCUUUUGAUAGAAGAAACAACUUUAACAGGUGACCCAAGAUCAUAUUACCUAAGGAUUUCAAAUUAAGUGGGCCUAAAAGCAGCCAUCUUAUCAGAAAGCGUUAAAGCUCAAAUUAGCCUAUAUCCUCAUAUACUGAUAUUACAUCUCCCUCCCUGCCCCUUACCAGGCUGUCUUAUGCCCCCAUAAGAACAAUUAUGCUAAAAUGAGUAAUAAGAAGAAUUUAAUUCUUCUCCUAGCACAUGUGUAAGUCGGAACGGACCUCCCACCGACUAUUAAUCGACCCCAAACCCAGAGGGUAAUAGGUCAAAUAAACAAGAAAAACACCUAUUUUGUAUCGUUAACCCCACACAGGUGUGCCUAAAGGAAAGACUAAAAGAGAAGGAAGGAACUCGGCAAACACAAGCCUCGCCUGUUUACCAAAAACAUCGCCUCUUGCCCCAAAAGUAUAAGAGGUCCCGCCUGCCCUGUGACUAUAAGUUUAACGGCCGCGGUAUUUUAACCGUGCGAAGGUAGCGUAAUCACUUGUCUUUUAAAUGAAGACCUGUAUGAAUGGCAUCACGAGGGCUUAGCUGUCUCCCAUCUCCAGUCAAUGAAAUUGACCUCCCCGUGCAGAGGCGGGGAUGAUUACAUAAGACGAGAAGACCCUAUGGAGCUUUAGACCUAAAGUAAGUCACGUUUAACAUGCUGUGAUAACAGUGAAAACUUAGUGAUAUUUACUGAAGUGUCUUUGGUUGGGGCGACCGCGGGGUAAAACACAACCCCCAUGUGGACCGGGGAUAUUAUCCCUAAUACUCAGAGCCUCUACUCCAAGUAACAGAAUUUCUGACUUUUCUGAUCCGGUAUAACCGAUCAACGAACCGAGUUACCCUAGGGAUAACAGCGCAAUCCCCUCUCAGAGCCCAUAUCGACGAGGGGGUUU